UACCUGGUUGAUCCUGCCAGUAGUCAUAUGCUUGUGUCAAAGAUUAAGCCAUGCAUGUGUAAGUAUGAACGAAUGCAGACUGUGAAACUGCGAAUGGCUCAUUAAAUCAGUUAUAGUUUGUUUGAUGGUAACUACUACUCGGAUAACCGUAGAAAUUCUAGAGCUAAUACGUGCAACAAACCCCAACUUCUGGAAGGGAUGCAUUUAUUAGAUAAAAGGUCGACGCGGGCUCUGCCCGUUGCUCUGAUGAUUCAUGAUAACUCGACGGAUCGCAUGGCCUUAGUGCUGGCGAUGCAUCAUUCAAAUUUCUGCCCUAUCAACUUUCGAUGGUAGGAUAUUGGCCUACCAUGGUGGUAACGGGUGAUGGAGAAUUAGGGUUCGAUUCCGGAGAGGGAGCCAGAGAAACAGCUACCACAUCCAAGGAAGGCAGCAGGCGCAGAAAUUACCCAAUCCUUACACGGGGAGGUAGUGACAAUAAAUUACAAUACCGGGCUCUUUGAGUCUGGUAAUUGGAAUGAGUACUAUCUAAAUCCCUUAACGAGGAUCCAUUGGAGGACAAGUCUGGUGCCAGAAGCCGCGGUAAUUCCAGCUCUUAUAGCGUAUAUUUAAAUUGUUGCAGUUAAAAAUCUCGUAGUUGAACCUUGGGAUGGGUCGCCCGGUCCGCCUUCGGUGAGCACCAGUCGGCUUGUCUCUUUUGUCGGCGAUAUGCUCAUGGCCUUAACUGGCCGGGUCGUGCCUCCGGCGCUGUUACUUUGAAGAAAUUAGAGUGCUCAAAGCAAGCCUACGCUCUGUAUACAUUAGCAUGGGAUAACAUCAUAGGAUUUCGAUCCUAUUGUGUUGGCCUUCGGGAUCAAAGUACUGAUUAACAGGGACAGUCGGUGUAAUAGCCGUCACGAGCCAAUAAAUUUAUGGUCGAGAUAAAUCCCGCUCGACCAGUUUUUUUUAGUUGGUUCGACAAGGAUUAAUA
rnacentral:ncRNA from 2 species